AUACUUUGGUUUCUCUUCAGAUCAUAUAAAUCUUUUGCCUUUUACUAAAGAUUUUCAUGGAGAGGAACAAUUGUGAGUUUUAUGAAUAAUU
ensembl:snRNA U5 U5 spliceosomal RNA